rnacentral:rRNA from 1 species
CCUACGGGUGGCAGCAGUGGGGAAUAUUGGACAAUGGGCGAAAGCCUGAUCCAGCCAUGCCGCGUGUGUGAAGAAGGCCUUCGGGUUGUAAAGCACUUUCAGUGGGGAAGAAAGCCUUGGGGCUAAUACCCUCGAGGAAGUACAUCACCCACAGAAGAAGCACCGGCUAACUCCGUGCCAGCAGCCGCGGUAAUACGGAGGGUGCGAGCGUUAAUCGGAAUUACUGGGCGUAAAGCGCGCGUAGGCGGUCUGAUAAGCCGGUUGUGAAAGCCCCGGGCUCAACCUGGGAACGGCAUCCGGAACUGUCAGGCUAGAGUGCAGGAGAGGAAGGUAGAAUUCCCGGUGUAGCGGUGAAAUGCGUAGAGAUCGGGAGGAAUACCAGUGGCGAAGGCGGCCUUCUGGACUGGCACUGACGCUGAGGUGCGAAAGCGUGGGUAGCAAACAGGAUUAGAUACCCGAGUAGUC